AGAGUUUGAUCCUGGCUCAGGACGAACGCUGGCGGCGUGCUUAACACAUGCAAGUCGAACGAGAGGACAAGAGAAGCUUGCUCCUUUUGGAAUCGAGUGGCAAACGGGUGAGUAACACGUAAACAACCUGCCUUCAGGAUGGGGACAACAGACGGAAACGACUGCUAAUACCGAAUACGCUUGGAAGACCGCAUGAUCUUCCAAGGAAAGGGUGGCCUCUACCUGUAAGCUAUCGCCUGAAGAGGGGUUUGCGUCUGAUUAGGCAGUUGGUGAGGUAACGGCCCACCAAACCUACGAUCAGUAGCCGGUCUGAGAGGAUGAACGGCACACUGGAACUGAGACACGGCCCAGACUCCUACGGGAGGCAGCAGUGGGGGAUAUUGCACAAUGGGGGAAACCCUGAUGCAGCGACGCCGCGUGGAGGAAGAAGGUUUUCGGAUUGUAAACUCCUGUCGUUAGGGACGAUAAUGACGGUACCUAACAAGAAAGCACCGGCUAACUACGUGCCAGCAGCCGCGGUAAAACGCAGGGUGCAAGCGUUGUCCGGAAUUACUGGGUGUAAAGGGAGCGCAGGCGGGAAGACAAGUUGGAAGUGAAAACCAUGGGCUCAACCCAUGAAUUGCUUUCAAAACUGUUUUUCUUGAGUAGUGCAGAGGUAGAUGGAAUUCCCGGUGUAGCGGUGGAAUGCGUAGAUAUCGGGAGGAACACCAGUGGCGAAGGCGGUCUACUGGGCACCAACUGACGCUGAGGCUCGAAAGCAUGGGUAGCAAACAGGAUUAGAUACCCUGGUAGUCCAUGCCGUAAACGAUGAUUACUAGGUGUUGGGGGAUUGACCCCCUCAGUGCCGCAGUUAACACAAUAAGUAAUCCACCUGGGGAGUACGACCGCAAGGUUGAAACUCAAAGGAAUUGACGGGGGCCCGCACAAGCAGUGGAGUAUGUGGUUUAAUUCGAAGCAACGCGAAGAACCUUACCAGGUCUUGACAUCCGAUGCAUAGCACAGAGAUGUGUGAAAUCCUUCGGGACAUCGAGACAGGUGGUGCAUGGUUGUCGUCAGCUCGUGUCGUGAGAUGUUGGGUUAAGUCCCGCAACGAGCGCAACCCUUAUUGCCAGUUACUACGUUAAGAGGACUCUGGCGAGACUGCCGUUGACAAAACGGAGGAAGGUGGGGAUGACGUCAAAUCAUCAUGCCCUUUAUGACCUGGGCUACACACGUACUACAAUGGCGUUAAACAAAGAGAAGCAAGACCGCGAGGUGGAGCAAAACUCAAAAACAACGUCUCAGUUCAGAUUGCAGGCUGCAACUCGCCUGCAUGAAGUCGGAAUUGCUAGUAAUCGCGGAUCAGCAUGCCGCGGCGAAUACGUUCCCGGGCCUUGUACACACCGCCCGUCACACCAUGAGAGCCGGGGGGACCCGAAGUCGAUAGUCUAACCGCAAGGAGGACGUCGCCGAAGGUAAAACUGGUGAUUGGGGUGAAGUCGUAACAAGGUA
rnacentral:rRNA from 1 species